rnacentral:rRNA from 1 species
GACGAACGCUGGCGGCGUGCCUAAUACAUGCAAGUAGAACGCUGAAGAGAGGAGCUUCCUCUUCUUGGAUGAGUUGCGAACGGGUGAGUAACGCGUAGGUAACCUGCCUUGUAGCGGGGGAUAACUAUUGGAAACGAUAGCUAAUACCGCAUAACAAUGGCUGACACAUGUCAUUUAUUUGAAAGGGGCAAUUGCUCCACUACAAGAUGGACCUGCGUUGUAUUAGCUAGUAGGUGAGGUAAUGGCUCACCUAGGCGACGAUACAUAGCCGACCUGAGAGGGUGAUCGGCCACACUGGGACUGAGACACGCCCCAGACUCCUACGAGUGGCAGCAGUAGGGAAUCGUCGGCAAUGGGGGCAACCCUGACCGAGCAACGCCGCGUGGGUGAAGGAGGGUCUCGGAUCGUAAAGCUCUGUUGUAAGUCAAGAACGGGUGUGAGAGUGGAAAGUUCACACUGUGACGGUAGCUUACCAGAAAGGGACGGCUAACUACGUG